CGCCAACUUCGGCAGCUCUUCUCGAUGUCUCGCCGCGGGCUGUGCCUCACAGGCUACGGGAGGGGAGAGUGUCUCCCCACGCCGGGGUCCCGGCCUCUGGGUUUUAGGGAGCGCGAAUGGGUCUCCGACAGCAACGGGAGCAGCCGGUGGCGCCUCAGGCUGCGGUGGCAACGAGCCCGACUGCACUACGGCUUUGCGGGACCGCGCCAGCGCGGAGGAGACCGAGCCCAUCUCAGCGGGCCGGGCCGGACCCAGGCCUCUGGCCUCGUCCACCAAGAACCUGCCAGAGUUCCUUCCAGAGGCCCACCAACAGGUGCUCAGCAGAAUCUGCACUGAGGAGCAUUGGAAAGAUCUGACCUACCUGCCAACAUCCUACCAGAACCUGAAAGUCACCAAUUGGGAUUUAUGUCUUCGGAUCCUGAAGUUUUAACCACUGACAAUGUUGAAUUUUACCUAAGCCCUGUGCUUCUGGAAAACAGGGAAGGUCAAGACAUCCCCUACUGUUUUAAUCAAUUCAGGCUGCUAUAGCAAAAAUACCAGAGACUGGGUGGCUUAAACAACAAACAUUUAUUUCUCACAGUUCUGGAGGCUGGAGGUCUGAGAUCAGGGUGCCAGCAUGGCUGGGUUCUGGUGAGGGACCUCUUCCUGAUUACAUCUUCACACGGCCUUUCCCUGGCGUGUGCACAU
ensembl:lncRNA novel transcript